rnacentral:rRNA from 1 species
UUCUGGCUCAGAACGAACGCUGGCGGCAUGGAUUAGGCAUGCAAGUCGAACGAAGCAGCAAUGCUUAGUGGCGGAAGGGUGAGGAACGCGUGAGUAAUCUGCCCUCAAGUUGGGAAUAACAGCUGGAAACGGCUGCUAAUACCGAAUGUGGCUGUUGGGUCGCAUGGUCUGACAGUUAAAGAUUUAUUGCUUGAGGAUGAGCUCGCGUCCCAUUAGCUAGUUGGCGGGGCAACGGCCCACCAAGGCGAUGAUGGGUAGCUGGUCUGAGAGGAUGGUCAGCCACACUGGGACUGAGACACUGCCCAGACUCCUACGGGAGGCUGCAGUCGAGAAUCUUGGGCAAUGCGCGAAAGCGUGACCCAGCCAAUGCCGCGUGCGUGAUGAAGGUCUUCGGAUUGUAAAGCGCUGUCAACCGGGACGAACUUAUGACGGUACCGGUGAAGGAAGCCACGGCUAACUACGUGCCAGCAGCCGC